GGAUUUGCUGUAAUUUGCACGUCUCGCAUCUCUGAAAGAUAUCGAGUGUUUUAAAGCCUGAUUGGUGAAGUCAAAUGGUUUUAUGCUGUCGUCUUUCUUCAUAGAGACAAAAGAGAUAUAUAAAGUAAUAUGCUCAGUAGUCUUUUUGUGGGGUGGCCGUUGGGAGGGGUUGUGGUUUUUUCUUUCUGUCAUUUACUUGCCAUCUCUUUUUCUUGCCUUUCUUCUGUUUUUCUUUGUUCUCCACUGUUUAUGUGCUUUGAGCUGCCAACCAUUGUGUUUCCCUCGCUCUCUCUCUGUUACACGACGUCAGUGUGUUUAUCAGUGUUUGUACAGACCUAUGGCCUCUUGCUUCUCAAACCCAGGAGCAACACACACACAGUGCCGCAGUCUUUGUCUGACUGCUGUGAAAGUCCGAUGGCUCAGGAAUACUAAUCCCACUCACAUGUCAUUUGGACGGACCAGAGGAGCAGCUAAUGGGGCAGGCGAGAUGAGGAGGAGACACUGUCGAUGGCUGUGUGGCAGUGUGUGUGAGUGGCAGAGUCCUCCCAGCCACAGAGAUAAAGAUUAGCAAAGGCCGAGCUGAACACAGAGGUCCAUUUACUGCACAUGGCACUGCACAUCAUCCCGCUACUGCUGCCAGUGAAAAACAGGACAGACUGUUGUCUAUGUAUAUUCAGCAUAUAUUUUGCAUGAGCUGCAAAUCUGCACAUUUCAAGAUUUACUCAUGCCAUGAUAUACUGCAACUGUUCAAAAGUUUGUUGUCGGCCUUCCACUUUGGGCAGAGUGAGACCUCAAUGGCACGAUCAGGGGAUGGAGAGUGGAAGUGUGAUGAGAGAGGAGGAGUAAGAGAGAAAGAUAAAUGGGCUUAAUGGACUAUCAUGAAUGCAGUGGGCGGAGUCAUGCCAGUGUCACUCAUUCCACCCCCUCUGAAUGAUCUCUGACCUGUCCUUGACUGGAAUUGAAUCCCUGCUCUGGUAGGUGAUGAUUCUUGCACCAACCACAAAUUACUGAAGCAUCUGACUCUAUGUCCCCUACACAAAUAAAAACCUGCAUUAAAGGCUCAUUUCUCAGCCGUGGACACACUCACCCUGACCCUCAGUUCCACUCAGCUGUCAUUCACCCGUUUCCUCUGAGCUCCCCUAUAGCCUUCAGCUACGAUGACAAGAGAUCACUCCAUCAAAGAGAAGGACCUGAAAGGACACACUUGGGGCACACAGAAAAAAUGUUUGGGAUAUUGAAGAACUGAAGAAGGCUUUAUGUGUUGUCACAUAGGCCAUAGAACACAGAAGACCUGACAUUGCACACUUAUUAUGCAUAUUGAUAUUGUAAAGCAUAACCAACGUAACAGUGCUCAAAAGAUUAUUAUUUAUCCAGUGAAAGUCAUACACAGACAGUUCACAGGCAAAUCCUUUUGAAUAAUAACUGUUUCUUAUAAUUUCCAGUAGUGAAUUUACAAUAAGUCUAUAGGGUGGUACUUAGGCAUUGCAUUGGGAUAAAAUACACUUGUUUCGAAAGCUGUACUGACUGUGAAGCAUUAACAAUAAACAUUUUAACUUGAACAUGGUAAAGUCAUUUACUAAGCAUGUCUGUGCAAAUAAAUGUUCAAUAUUUUACCUCAAACAGUUUAAACAAAAGGAAAAAAUUAGGACAGUGUGACCAUAUUAAACUUUCGCAUUCUAGAUGUGCAAACUAAUAAUUACCUAAAGUUUAUCUGCCUGCUUAAAUGAGAAUUUUACAUGUCAACACUUUUUGUACAGGGGAAA